UCUCUUUUCCAACAACACUUUCAAACUACUCUGUCAAAACAUUAAAAACAAGUUUAGAUUCCAACACUAUAAACACCAAAUGCACCUACAGAACAUAAUGCUUUGGGUAUGGAUUUAUUUUUUAUUUCAUAAUGCUUUAUUUGGGACAACUUGCAUGCACACACAACAAUUGCAGGGUACUAUCAAAACUUAUACUUGCAAGUUCCUUUUUAACCAAUUGGUAGG
rnacentral:lncRNA from 1 species